rnacentral:rRNA from 1 species
UGGGGAAUAUUGGACAAUGGGGGCAACCCUGAUCCAGCCAUGCCGCGUGAGUGAUGAAGGCCUUCGGGUUGUAAAGCUCUUUCGCACGCGACGAUGAUGACGGUAGCGUGAGAAGAAGCCCCGGCUAACUUCGUGCCAGCAGCCGCGGUAAUACGAAGGGGGCUAGCGUUGUUCGGAAUUACUGGGCGUAAAGGGCGCGUAGGCGGCGCUUCAAGUCAGAUGUGAAAGCCCCGGGCUCAACCUGGGAACAGCAUUUGAGACUGGAGUGCUUGAGUUCCGGAGAGGUGGGUGGAAUUCCCAGUGUAGAGGUGAAAUUCGUAGAUAUUGGGAAGAACACCGGUGGCGAAGGCGGCCCACUGGACGGAUACUGACGCUGAGGCGCGAAAGCGUGGGGAGCAAAACAGGAUUAGAUACCCUGGUAGUCCACGCCGUAAAACGAUGUCGGCUAGACGUUGGGGCUCUUAGAGCUUCGGUGUCGCAGCUAACGCAUUAAGCCGACCGCCUGGGGAGUACGGCCGCAAGGUUGAAACUUAAAUGAAUUGACGGGGUC